rnacentral:rRNA from 1 species
GUAACACGUAGUCAACAUGCCCAGGGGACGUGGAUAACCUCGGGAAACUGAGGAUAAACCGCGAUAGGUCACUACUUCUGGAAUGGGUAAUGACUCAAACCUAUAUGGCCCCUGGAUUGGACUGCGGCCGAUCAGGCUGUUGGUGAGGUAAUGGCCCACCAAACCUGUAACCGGUACGGGCUCUGAGAGGAGGAGCCCGGAGAUGGGCACUGAGACAAGGGCCCAGGCCCUAUGGGGCGCGGCAGGCGCGAAACCUCUGCAAUAGGCGAAAGCCUGACGGGGUUACUCUGAGUGAUCUCCGUUAAGGAGAUCUUUUGGCACCUCUAAAAAUGGUGCAGAAUAAGGGGUGGGCAAGUCUGGUGUCAGCCGCCGCGGUAAUACCAGCACCCCGAGUGGUCGGGACGUCUAUUGGGCCUAAAGCAUCCGUAGCCGGUUCUACAAGUCUUCCGUUAAAUCCAGCUGCUUAACAGAUGGGCUGCGGAAGAUACUAUGGAGCU